UUCUUUCAGAACUAGGUGGAGCAACUACAGCUCUGUCACAACAAGAAGUGGGAAGGAGAAGACUGCCAA
rnacentral:lncRNA from 1 species